GACGAACGCUGGCGGCGUGCCUAACACAUGCAAGUUGAGCGACGAACCAGGGCUUGCCCUGGGGCAAAGCCGCGAACGGGUGAGUAACACGUGGGUAACCUACCCCGAUAACCGGGACAACCCGAGGAAACUCGGGCUAAUACCGGAUGUGCUCACUGGACUUCGGUUCAGUGCGUAAAGGAAGCUUCGGCCUCCGUAUCGGGAGGGGCCCGCGGCCCAUUAGUUUGUUGGUGAGGUAACGGCUCACCAAGACCGCGAUGGGUAGCUGGUCUGAGAGGACGAUCAGCCACACUGGGACUGAGACACGGCCCAGACUCCUACGGGAGGCAGCAGUGGGGAAUCUUGCGCAAUGCGCGAAAGCGUGACGCAGCAACGCCGCGUGGGGGAAGAAGGCCUUCGGGUUGUAAACCCCUUUCAGGAGGGACGAAGGUUCGGCGGUGAAUAGCCGUCCGGACUGACGGUACCUCCACAAGAAGCCCCGGCUAACUACGUG
rnacentral:rRNA from 1 species